GGGCCAGUAGCUCAUCUGGUAGAGCACCUCGCUUGCACCGAGGGGGUAGCGGGUUCGAGUCCUGUCUGGUCCA
rnacentral:tRNA from 1 species